UGGGGAAUAUUGCACAAUGGGCGCAAGCCUGAUGCAGCCAUGCCGCGUGUAUGAAGAAGGCCUUCGGGUUGUAAAGUACUUUCAGCGGGGAGGAAGGCGACAGGGUUAAUAACCCUGUCGAUUGACGUUACCCGCAGAAGAAGCACCGGCUAACUCCGUGCCAGCAGCCGCGGUAAUACGGAGGGUGCAAGCGUUAAUCGGAAUUACUGGGCGUAAAGCGCACGCAGGCGGUCUGUCAAGUCGGAUGUGAAAUCCCCGGGCUCAACCUGGGAACUGCAUUCGAAACUGGCAGGCUAGAGUCUUGUAGAGGGGGGUAGAAUUCCAGGUGUAGCGGUGAAAUGCGUAGAGAUCUGGAGGAAUACCGGUGGCGAAGGCGGCCCCCUGGACAAAGACUGACGCUCAGGUGCGAAAGCGUGGGGAGCAAACAGG
rnacentral:rRNA from 1 species